UAAGACACAAAGUUAGCAAUGGAAUAUGUGGAUUUACACUGACGUGUACCUUUUCGAAGAGCAAUAGGAAGGUCAAAAUUUUCUAAAGAAUCAAAUAGAGAAGGAACUAAUGAAGAAGGAGAUGUAGGAUAAGUAUCAUCAUUACCUCUCCUCCUCGAGUAAACUUGAACAAUUGGCAAUCUUGUUGGAACGGAUGAAGCAGUUUCUGAAGGCAUAAUAGUUGACUGAUUCUCAAUGAAUGAAC
rnacentral:lncRNA from 1 species